rnacentral:rRNA from 1 species
CCUACGGGUGGCAGCAGUGAGGAAUAUUGGUCAAUGGACGAGAGUCUGAACCAGCCAAGUAGCGUGAAGGAUGACUGCCCUAUGGGUUGUAAACUUCUUUUAUAAAGGAAUAAAACGAGGCACGUGUGCCUUUUUGCAUGUACUUUAUGAAUAAGGAUCGGCUAACUCCGUGCCAGCAGCCGCGGUAAUACGGAGGAUCCGAGCGUUAUCCGGAUUUAUUGGGUUUAAAGGGAGCGUAGAUGGGUUGUUAAGUCAGUUGUGAAAGUUUGGGGCUCAACCGUAAAAUUGCAAUUGAUACUGGCAGUCUAGAGUACAGUUGAGGUAGGCGGAAUUCGUGGUGUAGCGGUGAAAUGCUUAGAUAUCACGAAGAACCCCGAUUGCGAAGGCAGCUUACUAAACUGUGACUGACAUUGAUGCUCGAAAGUGUGGGUAUCAAACAGGAUUAGAUACCCCAGUAGUC